AAAGGUUACUUAAAUGAUUUGUAUAUUUAUAACGUAACAAUACGUCAAUCCAUUAAAAGUUCAGACGAACGCAGCCAUAGACAAAAACAAAGACGUAAGGAAAAUUUUAUCAAUAACUUUUCAUAGUGAUAGCCAAAAUCCCUUGUAUUUAAUAAAUUUACUAAUAUUUUCUAUAAUACACAUUGGACCAUUUGGGGAACAAUAUUAGGGAUUAAUGUUUAUAUGCCUUAUAAUGCAGUGCUUGCAUUGUUAUUGAUAUUAUGACUUAGUGUACAAGUAUUCAUUCAUUUAAAAAAAUACUAUAAUAUACAGAUACAUUUUUCUUCUCGUUUUCUCAAUAAAAAACGAUCAAGGGCGAAUUUAAGGAGAGGAGGCUUAAACUUCUCUGGAUCCUCCCCGACUAUAUACCCUAUAUAAUAAUUAAAAUCGAUCGACGCCUGCGCAAUAAGAUUGGCAGCUAUAGUUGCCAUAUAUCGAGGUAAUCUCAAAUAACUUAACAAGCAAACAACAACAGCUGUACGGAACACGUGAUCAACACUCGCCCCCGCCCGCGACUCCGUUCGUGUGUGUUUCUUAUUGAUACAGAUCCUCCUCCAGUCUGUACGUAUUAGACUUAAACGUGGCCAAGAUAUAAUUGGGACAUUACCAGAUCUAACGAAAAUUUAAACUCAUUAUUGCCAUUUCACUUGAGAAGUAAAAUGUCAAUUGCUUCUGAAGAUAGGCUUUAAUAUAUCCAAAAAAAAUGCUGUAUGUUUACAACUAGUCACCAAUUCAGAUACUUUUUCUAAAUAACUAAAAUGUAUGACAGUAAUGUCAUGAGUCUGAAAGUACACGCAUCAUACAGCUCAUCUUCCAUACGUAAACCAUGACAAAUCCGCUUUUUAUGGUCAGUCUUCAUCAGUAUCAGAUUGGAUAAUGUCCAUACACACAACUCAUGACUCUUUCCAUACAGCGUCAAGAGCAUCACAAGCCUUACUACGGUCAUAGCACACCGCUCCCACCCGGCAUGAUGACGUUCAUUGAGAAGUGAGCUUUAAAACGUUCUCCGUAGAUAUAUUUUACAUUGACAACACGAGCAGUUCGUUGUUGACGUUUGAAAGCUCACUUUUCAAAGAACAUCUUGCCUGGUGGAGUGGUGCAGUAGCGGUGUGCAUUAUAUGACCUUUACUGUCAAGCGUGAGAGUUAGCUUACAACACACAAGUUGCCACGGUGGUAAACGAUAUUAGACCCUCCAUGCUACAACACAAGACACAGAUUACACUGACCCGCGUAUAUACUUAUGCGUGUCGGAAUCACGUUUUCAGUUCCGAUUUUAAAUUGAAAGUUUACAAAGUGAUACCGUUAUGGAAAAAUUUGAAGUAUCGUUACAAUGCAGCCAGUAUUAUUCUUGGAAACAUUAAACGAUAUUUAAUAUUUCCAAGUCGUUGUACUUAUCAAAUAUUAAACGAUAAUUAAUUUUCCGGGAUGAAAGGUACCCUAUGUCCUUCUUCAUACUUCAAACUACAGGUAUGCAAAAUUUCAAGUUUGGUUGAAUAGAUAGAGCGUGAAGAGGUAAUAUUAGUUGGGAUUAUGGAACAAUUAUGAUACUAGGAUGACCGAAUUUGAUCGAAAGUGUUUGUCUAUUUGUUAACGUUUAUCUCAAAAAAGCACACGCUGGCAGUGUAUAGUUAAUUGAGCAAGUGAGAGGUCACGUUAUAAAAAAAUAUUUUACUGAGAUACAUAACAUUUUAAUGAAUUUUAUUAUUAUAUUCUCCACUACAUCAAAAUUGGUAAUCGGUUUGGGAAGUUUAAUAAUGAAUCUCCAGUCGUAUUUAAAACAUGAGACGUUCUCGCGAUCUUUUGAUAAAUAACUUUAUAAAAUACAUACUUAUUACAUAAUCCAUUAUCGAUCUUCCAGUAUCAAAAUUAAAUAUUCUUACAACUGGCUAUAAAAGUUUCAAAAAUCUAUGAUUUGCGGCUAAAAGGGUCUACGAGAAACGACUUCAAAUAAAACUUGCACUAUACAAUACAAUCAUUGUUAUCACAUAGGCAUGUGACAACCAAAUUAAAAAGAAGUAUUUUGACGGCGAUGGUUUUUUAUGCCUGUCACUGGUAACCAAAACUUGAGAGCAAUUCGAAAUUCGUAAGUUCAUUCCUAGUUUUGAAAUUGUUAUAUUUCUGUCCAUUUGACUUGCCAGUAUUAUUAAUAGUCAAUAAAAAGACAUUGAGCAUAAGUAAAAAAAAAACAAAUUCAAACCAGAGUUCAUUCCAUCCUAAAUUAUUUCCAGUCAGUAUCGUCUACAUACAACAGACAAGUCGCCAGUAUAAA